AUCUGGCUCAGAUUAACGCUGGCGGCGUGCCUAAUACAUGCAAGUCGAAUGGUAGUAGCAAUACAAACCAUGGCGAACGGGUGAGUAACACGUAGGUAACCUGUCUUUAAGACGAGGAUAACCAUUGGAAACGAUGGAUAAUACUGGAUAGGACAUCACAAAGGGCAUCCUUAGAUGUUUAAAGAUUAUUAUGUCACUUAGAGAGGGGCCUGCGGCGCAUUAGCUAGUUGGUGAGGUAAGAGCCCACCAAGGCGAUGAUGCGUAGCCGGACUGAGAGGUUGAACGGCCACAAUGGAACUGAGAACGGUCCAUACUCCUACGGGAGGCAGCAGUAGGGAAUUUUCGGCAAUGGGCGCAAGCCCUGACCGAGCAACGCCGCGUGAACGAAGAAGUUAUUCGUAAUGUAAAGUUCUUUUAUCUGGGAAGAAAAAACAAAUUGACGGUACCAGAUGAAUAGGCUCCGGCUAACUACGUGCCAGCCGCCGC
rnacentral:rRNA from 1 species